ACUCCUACAGCCAAAUGAGGCGAACAUAAUGAGGGCGGCAAGAAUUGAUAAAUGAACGCAUUACAGCCCAGGCUGUCUUACUGUGACCAUACACAAAGAGCCACAUGUGGGGGGUUGUCAGUGGCUUUCAGAAAAGGUGGAAUUCGAUGUAGUCCCACUCCAUCUGUGCAUUGGUCCUGAUUGCUUCAGAGGUUCUCUGGAAGGCUAACGUAAGAUCAGAGUACUGAACAUUAUACUCAGCUAUACUAAUCAAUGAGACGAGGAAGCAAAUCAGCUAACACAGGUACAAUUUCUCAGUGAUUAAAAAAUAAGUAACUACAGACUUGAGCAGGUCAUCAAAUUACAUCAGGUAAGUGCAGCUUCUCCAUGCUGUUUCACAAAAGUAUGGCUUAAAGAAACCAUUUAUAUCGCAGAAAGUGGUCUCAGGUCCACAAAAGGAAAGAAUGAUGGUGUUUGAGGUCAAAAUAUAUGUUUUAGUUAAUG
rnacentral:lncRNA from 1 species